CCCAAGAUUCCCUUUCUUUUUUCCCCUAAGAUUCCUGGAAAUUUAUGGUUCCCAGAAUUUUUUAUUCCCAAAAUUCCCAUUUUUGGUUCCUGGAAAUUCUGUGCUUCCCAGAAUUUUUUAUUCCCAAAAUUCCCAUUUUUGUUUCCUGGAAAUUCUGUGGUAUCCCAGAAUUUCUUAUUCCCAAAAUUCCCUUUUUUUCCCCCCUGAGAUUCCUGGAAAAUCUGUGGUUCCCAGAAUUUUUUAUUCCCAAAAUUCCCAUUUUUCAUUUCUGGAAUUUCUGUGGUUCCCAGAAUUUUUUAUUCCUAAAAUUCCCAGUUUUGUUUCCUGGAAAUUUAUGGUUCCCAGAAUUUCUUAUUCCCAAAAUUCCCUUUUUUUUCCCCUGAGAUUCCUGGAAAAUCUGUGAUUCCCAAAAUUUUUUAUUCCCAAAAUUCCCAUUUUUGUUUCCUGGAAAUUCUGUGGUAUCCCAAAAUUUUUUACUCCCAAAAUUCACUUUUAUCCCCUUGAAAUUCCUGAGUUCUCUUCCCUGUGAUUUCCCAGAAUUUCCUAUUCCAAAUUUUUUUUUUCCCUGGGAUUCCUGAGUUCUAAUUCCUGUGAUUUCCCAGAAUUUCUUAUUCCCUAAAUUCCAUUUUUUUCCCCUUGGAAUUCCUGGAAAUUCUGUGGUUCCCAAAAUUUUUUAUUCCCAAAAUUCCCUUUUUUCCCUGGGAUUUUUUCUUGAGCUCUCCCAGAACUCAUUCCCAAAAAUCCACUUUUUUUGGGAUUUAUUCCCUUCCCAAAAAUUCCUUUUUUUCUGGGAUUCCUUGAAUCUACUUACAAAAUUCCAGGAUAACUUUUUUUCCCCCAAAAUUCCACUUUUUUUAGGAUUAUUGGAAUCUUCUCCCUGUGAUAUCCCAAAAUUCCCCAUUCCCAAAAUUCCACUUUUUCUUCAAUCCCCUCCCUUCCCAAAAAUCCCUUUUUCCCAGAAUUCCCCAAACCCCUUCCUUAUAAAAUUCCAGGAAUAUUUUUUUAUUUCUCUUCACAAUAUUCCCAGGAAUUUUUUGGAAUGUGAGGCAUUUCCCAUUUUUUCCUGAAAAAAUAAAAAAUAAAAAAUUCCCAACUCCCUUCCCUUGCUCCAAUCAUGGCUGGAGCCAAUUCUUGGGAAUUUGGAUCCUGGGAUUUUUUUGGGAUUUGUGGAUUUUUUUUAUUUUAUUUUCCCCUCACCAACCUCUGGAAAAAUCAGAAUUUUCCAUUUUUCAAUCCCAAUUUUUUUUCCCUUGGGAAUCACCGGAAUUUUCCAUUUUUCAAUCCCAAAGUUUUAUUUUUUUUUUCCUUGGGAAUCAUCGGGAAAAUCGUCGAGGGAUCCUUUGGAAUUCUGAAGGAAACAACUUCAACUUGGAUUUGGGAAAAUCCUGGAUUUGAGAAUUUUUUUUUUUAGGAUGGAAUUUUAGGAUGGAAUUCCAGGAAUCUACGCUGGAAAUUUGGGAAUUCAAGACGGAAAAAAAAAAAAAAAAAUCCAGGAUGGAAUUUAACAAUUCCCAGGAAUUCAAAGCUGAACCAACUCUCCCCAAACCCUCAGGAUUGGAGACAAUUCCCAGCUGCUUUUCCAGGACAAUCCAGAAAUUUGGGAUUCAUGGAAAACUUUGGGAAAAGCCAAGAAAGGAACGAGACGAUCCCAAAAACCCCACGGAGGAAAAAUCCCGGAAUUCGGAGCCGUUUGCUGGGAAAUCCACGGGGAUUUUUCCAGGAAAUUCCUAAAAAAAACCCCAAAAUUCCCAACUCUUGACUCUUGGAGGAUUCCUUCCCAUUUUUCCCAGAAAAAUCUCGGGAAUUCCGAGCUGGGAACGGCCAAAAUUCCGUCGGAAGCGGAACCGGGGGAGGAGCAGCUGCCGUCGGAAUUCCCGGAAUUUGGGACUGGAAUUCAAUCCAGAACUUUGGCUCUGCCUCCAUUUUUCCCAAAUUUUUUUUUUUUUUUGCUUGUUUGUUUAAUUUUUUUUUUUUAUGGAAGCAACUUUGGAAUUCCUGGAAUAAUGGGGGUGAGGGAGGGGGGUGGGGAAAAACGGAAUUCCCGGGAUUUUUUUUGUUGUUGUUAUUUUUCCUAAUUUUUUUUUUUCUUUUUGUUGGUUUUUUUUUUUUUUUUUUUUUUUUUUUAUGGGAUGGGAUUUCCAGCUGGAAAAACUCUGGGAUGAGCCGGAUUUGAGGAAUCCUUGGGAGGAAAUUCUGGGAUUCCAGGAGAGGAGGGCGGAUCCCGGAAUUCCGGAGGCUCGGGAAUGUUGUUCCAUUAAAGUGUUGGCACUUCCUGGUGCAAUUCCCAAAUUUUCUUCCCCUUGGGGAAAAAAAAAAAAAAAAAUGGGGUGGAAGAGGGGAUGGGAAAGUUGGGAAUGAGGAAAAAAAAAUGGGAAUGGGGAAUUCCAGAGGGGAAAUUUGGGAUUGGGCAGAGCUGGGGCAGGAAUGGGAGGGGGUGGGGUUGUCAGAGUGUCCCUGGAUUUGGGAUCCCUGGAUUUGGGAUUUCUGGAUUUGGGAUCCCUGGAUUUAUUUGGGAUCCCUGGAUUUGGGAUCCCUGGAUUUGGGAUUUCUGGAUUGAUUUGGGAUCCCUGGAUUUGGGAUCCCUGGAUUUAUUUGGGAUCCUUGGAUUUGGGAUUCCUGGAUUGAUUUGGGAUCCUUGGAUUUGGGAUCCCUGGAUUUGGGAUUUCUGGAUUCAUUUGGGAUCCUUGGAUUUGGGAUUGUCAUCCAUGGGUUUAUUUGGGAUCCCUGGAUUUAUUUGGGAUUUCUGGAUUUGGGAUCCCUGGAUUUAUUUGGGAUCCCUGGAUUUAUUUGGGUUCCCUGGAUUUAUUUGGGAUCCCUGGAUUUGGGAUCCCUGGAUUUGGGAUCCCUGGAUUUAUUUGGGAUCCCUGGAUUUAUUUGGGAUUUCUGGAUUUGGGAUCCCUGGAUUUAUUUUGGAUCCCUGGAUUUGGGAUUCCUGGAUUUAUUUGGGAUUUCUGGAUUUGGGAUUCCUGGAUUUAUUUGGGAUUUCUGGAUUUGGGAUCCCUGGAUUGAUUUGGGAUUUCUGGAUUUGGGAUCCCUGGAUUGAUUUGGGAUCCUUGGAUUUAUUUGGGAUUCCUGGAGUGAUUUGGGAUCUUGGGUUUGGAAUUCUCCUCCCAUCCCUGGAUUGAUUUGGAAUUCCUGGAUUUGGAAUCCCUGGAUUUGGGAUUCCUGGAUUUGGAAUUCCUGGGUUGAUUUGAGAUCUCUGGAUGGAUUUGGGAUCCCUGGAUUUGGGAUCCCUGGAUUUGGGAUCCCUGGAUUGAUUUGGGAUCCUUGGAUUUGGGAUUGUCAUCCAUGGGUUUAUUUGGAAUCCCUGAAUUUAUUUGGGAUUCUCCUCCCAUCCCUGGAUUUAUUUGGGAUUCCUGGAUUUGGAAUCCCUGGAUUUGGAUACUUGGAUUUGGGAUUCCUGGAUUUGGGAUUGUCAUCCAUGGAUUUAUUUGGGAUCCUUGGAUUUGGGUUCCUUGGAUUUUGGGAUUCCUAGAUUUGGGAUUCCUGGAUUUGGGAUUCCUGGAUUUGGAAUUCCUGGGUUGAUUUGGGAUCUCUGGAUGGAUUUGGGAUCCUUGGAUUUGGGAUUGUCUUCCAUGGGUUUAUUUGGGAUCCCUGAAUUUAUUUGGGAUUCUCCUCCCAUCCCUGGAUUUAUUUUGGAUCCCUGGAUUUGGGAUUCCUGGAUUUGGAAUUCCUGGAGUGAUUUGGGAUCUUGGGUUUGGAAUUCUCCUCCCAUCCCUGGGUUGAUUUGGGAUCAUUGGAUUUGGGAUUUGUGGAUUUGGGAUUUGUGGAUUUGGGAUUCCCAUCCAUGGAUUUCUUUGGGAUUCCUGGAUUCCAUCCUGAUCCCAUCCCUGGAUUUGGGAUUCCCACACUGUGGCCUUGAAUUUCCACCCAAAAUCUUGAAUUGCAGCACUGGAAAAUUCUGGAAUUCCCCCAAAUCCUGCAAAAAUCCCAAAUUUCCAUCAGAAUUUUUUUUCCCUGACAAUUCCACAUUUUUUAUAAAUAACAAUUCGAUGGAAUUUCCAUGAUUUAAUCAGAUUUUUCCAUCUUUUCCUGGAAUGUUUGAAUCCCAUUUUCCAGAUUUUGGGAAUUCUCCAGAUCCCGGUGCCUAAUUAGAAUAUUCCAAUAUGCAAAUGAGAUGCAAAUGAGCUGUCGAAAUAAAUUUCUUUUUUAUUGCGGAUUUUUACAAAAAUAAAUUAAAAACAAAUAAAUUAAAUCCCUCCCCUCCCCCCUCCCCCUUUUCCUUCCUUUCCUGGAAUUCCCACAGAAUUCCCAUUCCAAGGGAAAAAAAAAAAAUCAAAGGAAAAACCAUUCCCAAGUUUUUCCCUCCUCCAAAAUUCCAGGGAUUUUUUUAUUGUUGGGAUUUUUUUUUUUUUAAUUCCCCAAAUUUGGGGCUUUUCCCUUUGGGAAUUCUGGGAAUUUUCUGCUCUGGAGGGAAAUGGGAUCGAAGCCAUUGCAGGAUUUUUUUUUAUUUUUUUUUUUGGGAUGGGGAAAGUGGGAAAAUCCUGUGGGAUGAAGGAGGGAAUUCCCAAUUUUCCCAGGGCUUCUUUUCCCAAAAUUCCCAAUUUUCCCAGGGCUCCUUUACCCAGAAUUCCCAAUUUUCCCAGGGCUCCUUUUCCCAAAAUUCCCAAUUUUUUCCAGGGCUCCUUUUCCCAGAAUUCCCAAUUUUUUCAGGGCUCCUUUUCCCAAAAUUCC